GACGAACGCUGGCGGCGUGCCUAAUACAUGCAAGUAGAACGCUGAAGGAGGAGCUUGCUCUUCUGGACGAGUUGCGAACGGGUGAGUAACGCGUAGGUAACCUGCCUGGUAGCGGGGGAUAACUAUUGGAAACGAUAGCUAAUACCGCAUAACAGUAGAUGUUGCAUGACAUUUGCUUAAAAGGUGCAAUUGCACCACUACCAGAUGGACCUGCGUUGUAUUAGCUAGUUGGUGGGGUAACGGCUCACCAAGGCGACGAUACAUAGCCGACCUGAGAGGGUGAUCGGCCACACUGGGACUGAGACACGGCCCAGACUCCUACGGGAGGCAGCAGUAGGGAAUCUUCGGCAAUGGACGGAAGUCUGACCGAGCAACGCCGCGUGAGUGAAGAAGGUUUUCGGAUCGUAAAGCUCUGUUGUAAGAGAAGAACGAGUGUGAGAGUGGAAAGUUCACACUGUGACGGUAUCUUACCAGAAAGGGACGGCUAACUACGUG
rnacentral:rRNA from 1 species